AUUGAACGCUGGCGGCAUGCUUUACACAUGCAAGUCGAACGGUAACAGGCCGCAAGGUGCUGACGAGUGGCGAACGGGUGAGUAAUGCAUCGGAACGUGCCCAGUCGUGGGGGAUAACUACUCGAAAGAGUAGCUAAUACCGCAUACGAUCUAUGGAUGAAAGCGGGGGACCGUAAGGCCUCGCGCGAUUGGAGCGGCCGAUGUCAGAUUAGGUAGUUGGUGGGGUAAAGGCUCACCAAGCCAACGAUCUGUAGCUGGUCUGAGAGGACGACCAGCCACACGAGGACUGAGACACGGACCAGACUCCUACGGGAGGCAGCAGAGGGGAAUGUUGGACAAUGGGCGCAAGCAUGGUACAGCAAGGCGGCGUGCAGGAAGAAGGCGUUCGGGUUGUAAACUGCUUUUGUACGGAACGAAACGGCUCUGGUUAAUACCCGGGGCUAAUGACGGUACCGUAAGAAUAAGCACCGGCUAACUACGUG
rnacentral:rRNA from 1 species